rnacentral:rRNA from 1 species
UACGAAGGGGGGCUAGCGUUGCUCGGAAUCACUGGGCGUAAAGCGCACGUAGGCGGAUUGCUAAGUCAGGGGUGAAAUCCUGGAGCUCAACUCCAGAACUGCCCUUGAUACUGGCGGUCUCGAGUCCGGGAGAGGUGAGUGGAACUGCGAGUGUAGAGGUGAAAUUCGUAGAUAUUCGCAAGAACACCAGUGGCGAAGGCGGCUCACUGGCCCGAUACUGACGCUGAGGUGCGAAAAGCGUGGGGAGCAAACAGG